ACAGCUUUCCCCGUAGAGGCAUUACAGUUAUACUGGUUGGUUGUCACACAGCUUUUCUCACACAGGCAUUACAGUUAUACUGGUCACCCCUCCCCCUACUGAUACCCCAUUGGUUAUAAUAACCCCCUUCACGUCACAUCAUAUAAUCGGUACAUGAUCCUAUCCUGUGAUAUCACGUGACUAUGAAGAGCAUGCCGGGUAAUCUUGGAUAAAGUACUAGCAUGCGACUCUCCGUCAGGUAAGUUCCUCCAGCGCACAGGACUGACUGUCUAUAGCGGCAGAAUUACACGGCCCUGUGUACAGACAGGGCUUCCUGGGCCUUGUAGUUCAACGAGAAGUAAUCCCCGGGGCGGUUCUGUCCCUCAAUAUGGCCGCCCUUAUAUACUCUCCUCCUCAGCGGGCCCGCGGCCUGGUCUCCUCCAAUCAGAGCGCAGCUUGUAAGUGUAAGCGGCCCUGACAGGAUUCAUCGAGCGCUCUGAUUGGCUGCUGUGUGCAGAGUGGAAGCUGAGGCUGCCUUGUUGCUAUGGGCAACGGUUCUCUUCAUCCUCCAUCUUGUACGAGGGGCAGGCAGGACGCUGCCAUCAUGGAGCGGAUCGGUUCCUGUCCCCUGUGGUCCGGCGCUGAUGACACAGGAAAUGUGGCUCUAUAGAGAGGAUUCUAUGGCCGCCUCCGCUGACUCACUGUGACGACUUGUUAUCAUGGACGGAGAUGAACCUGACCUCAUCUGACCGAUCAGCAAAAGGUGAACAGAUGCAGAAUCCUGUGCUGCUGUGUCCUCUCCGCUCCGCCGGGCGCCCAGCGAUGAUGAUGGGAUCAGUGACCUGUUUCCUGGACUUCUUGUGACGGAAUAGACGUGGCAGCAGUCCCCGAUCAUCGAGGCAUCUGUGCAGGUUCACGUGGGGCGUACAGGCCACGGGGCAGGAGGCGCACCGCUUCACCGUUACCUCCACAGGCGGAGGAGAGUCCGGGUAAGAGCGUUUUCUGCAGAACAGCGCCAUAUCUGGGGACAGAAGCAACGAGGUUGCGCAGCCGAGCGUUCUUAUUGGUGAUCUCCUCCACAUGAGUCGCCGGCACCCAGCCCCUCUCUCCGUCUGAGAGCCGGAUACCUUCCAUCCAUCCUGUCAAUAAAUGAGUCAAACGUUAUGUCAUUGCCCCAGGCAAGGAGACAAAGUCACGUCAUCUUCAGACUAGGACAUUGGCAGCGCUACAGCUUCUAAUAGAGAGCGCAAUGUUAUCAAAAUGUACUCCUAUCUUGCUUCAUGAUACUGCUCUCCUUCACCUGCUUUACCCUAGGAGUAACUCCUUCCUGUGCUCCAUGUCAGUCUUUUGCUGCCUCCUAUGUAUAACUACCAUAAUACUGCUCCUAUGUACUGUAAUAUAACUACUAUAAUACUGCCUCCUAUAUACAAGAAUAUAAAUAUAAAACUGCUUCCUAUAUACAAGAAUAUAACUACUAUAAUACUGC